AUUCCUUUUGUAUCCCUCUCCCUGAGAUCCAGAUGGACUAUAUACAUAGAUAUUUGAAAUUAAGGUCAACUGCUCUAUACAUUAAUGUUUAACUAUACUUUUGAGAUGAUAUACUAAUAGAUUUCAUUUUAAUAUUUCCUAACUUUAGCAAAAAAAAAUUGAUUACAAAACAAAAGCAAUGACUAGAGCAAAAAGAUUUACUUGGACGGAAAGAACAGCCGCAAUGGUGAUUAUCUCCUCUGAACACCCAAGUUGACUGGAAGCUAUUAUCAUUUUUG
rnacentral:lncRNA from 1 species